rnacentral:lncRNA from 1 species
UGGGAAAGUUUUAGAUCAAUCCUUAAAGGUAGAAUUGAAUUAGCAAUACCAUUAAAAAAACCUAAACAACUAGAUGAGGAAGUUGAGUUGCUUGUACAAAAUAUACAAAAAUCAGCAUGGGAAAGUACUCCUACUAUAAAAUCAAACGUCAAAGGAAACAACUCUCCGAAAAAAAUUAAA